rnacentral:rRNA from 1 species
GAUGAACGCUGGCGGCGUGCUUAACACAUGCAAGUCGAACGGUGAAGCAGAGCUUGCUCUGUGGAUCAGUGGCGAACGGGUGAGUAACACGUGAGCAACCUGCCCCGGACUCUGGAUAAGCGCUGGAAACGGCGUCUAAUACCGGAUACGAGAUUCCACCGCAUGGUGAGUUUCUGGAAAGAUUUUUUGGUCUGGGAUGGGCUCACGGCCUAUCAGCUUGUUGGUGAGGUAAUGGCUCACCAAGGCGUCGACGGGUAGCCGGCCUGAGAGGGUGACCGGCCACACUGGGACUGAGACACGGCCCAGACUCCUACGGGAGGCAGCAGUGGGGAAUAUUGCACAAUGGGCGGAAGCCUGAUGCAGCAACGCCGCGUGAGGGAUGACGGCCUUCGGGUUGUAAACCUCUUUUAGCAGGGAAGAAGCGAAAGUGACGGUACCUGCAGAAAAAGCGCCGGCUAACUACGUGCCAGCCGCCGCCGUAACAC